rnacentral:rRNA from 1 species
UACGUAGGGGGCAAGCGUUAUCCGGAUUUACUGGGUGUAAAGGGGGCGUAGACGGCAGCGCAAGUCUGGAGUGAAAUGCCGGGGCCCAACCCCGGAACUGCUUUGGAAACUGUGCGGCUCGAGUGCGGGAGAGGUAGGCGGAAUUCCUAGUGUAGCGGUGAAAUGCGUAGAUAUUAGGAGGAACACCAGUGGCGAAGGCGGCUUACUGGACCGUAACUGACGUUGAGGCUCGAAAGUGUGGGGAGCAAACAGG